UCUUUGCACUCAGAUUUUGGUGUCAUGUUUCCGUAUCCUCGGAAAAAUGAUGAAAAGGGAAUCAGGUGUAAGUCCUGAACAGACCCGCUGCUGUAAGCUCUAUUCAGUAAACAGUUAACAAUGUUUCUGAAAAAAGUCUUCGAACAAUACCAAAUACCACUGAUUGACAGUAAUCAGUCUUCAGUCAACCGUUAUCAAUCUUAUUGUUAACUGUUCACUGUUCACUGUUCACUGAAUGUUGGGAAGGGCGUUCAAAGAUGGAGUAAGUCAGAAGACCUGCCAAGGUUGAUUAGUUUAAA
rnacentral:ncRNA from 1 species